rnacentral:misc_RNA from 1 species
UGUGAGCCAGCUCCUCUUAAAUGAAUUAGCUUGCCGGUGUUUGGUGGCAUCACAGGCGUGAUAACUAUCUACGCUUGCGGUUUCCCAUCAGGUAACCUUCAGCGAUGGAGGUUCACCGGGGCUUAUAAACAUCUCUCCUCGGCGAGGACGGAUUUUGACCGUUUGAUCUCAAAUCAGGCAGGACUACCCGCUGAACUUAA